ensembl:snoRNA small nucleolar RNA U54
UGAGCAAUGAGGAUAGAAUUCACGCCUGAUGAAACCUGACGACUGUAUACGCUAUUCUGAGCCGAGG